GGUGAGUAACACGUAAGUAAUCUACCUUCGAGUGGGGAAUAACCCGGGGAAACCCGAGCUAAUACCGCAUAACGCAUCGGCAUCGCAAGAUCGCAGUUGUUAAAUGAGCAAUCCGCUUGAAGAGGAGCUUGCGGCAGAUUAGCUAGUUGGUAAGGUAACGGCUUACCAAGGCUACGAUCUGUAUCCGGUCUAAGAGGACGGUCGGACACACUGACACUGAAUAACGGGUCAGACUCCUACGGGAGGCAGCAGUCGGGAAUUUUGGGCAAUGGGCGAAAGCCUGACCCAGCAACGCCGCGUGAAGGAUGAAGUAUUUCGGUAUGUAAACUUCGAAAGAAUAGGAAGAAUAAAUGACGGUACUAUUUAUAAGCUCC
rnacentral:rRNA from 1 species